AAAUACUUAGGUAAAGAAAAUGAUUACUCUCAUCUUUGUUAUUUAGAUUCACAAGAUCAAGUCAACCUUUAUAGAUGGAUUAUUAGCUUGCAUGAAAAAGGGAUCCAUUUCCUCCAAGUGGAAUCAAACGGGAACUGUGACGGGAAGACUUUCAGCCACACAUCCUGUAAGUUGGUGCUCUUCAAGAAAUGCCGGUUUGGGCUGGGGAUGUGGCUCAAGUGGUAGCGCGCUCGCCUGGCAUGCGUGCGGCCCUGGUUCGAUCCUCAGCACCACAUACAAACAAAGAUGUUGUGUCUGCUGAAAACUGAAAAAUAAAAAAAAA
rnacentral:lncRNA from 1 species